CCUGCACAAGACAACAACUGCUUCCUUCUCCGUACUUGCUUCGGAAGACAAGGGAAUGGGGCUGAGAAGACAAGGGAAUGGGGCUGUUUGCCACGAUCAAACAGUGAAACAGACUCAAAGGGCUGAAUGGCCUAAUUUUGCCCCUACAUCUUCUGGUCUUAUGCACAAUGUACUGAAUUUACACCAACAUUUGGAGGUGGAGCCAUAGACAACGAAAAGGGUGAAUCACCAUGUCGGGACUGCUACCUGAUGGCUUCCCAUUGACAGUCAAAUUGCCCAGGGGAAGCCAGGACUGGCUCUGGCAGCUAGCUGUGGCAGUAGGCAUCCGAAGGAGACCUCAAGGCUGUUUUGCUGCUAGUAGCACCAUUUUCAUGAACGUCUGAUUGGUCCACCAUAGAUUGGAGCUUCUAUUCCUUCACAAUAUAACAUCAUGGACCCAGUACAGUCUCCUGAUUUGAGAACCAAAAGCUGGAAGCAGAAAAUCUCCCAGUAAGAGCUGAAGUAACUACGCUAGCACCGUCUGUCUGCCUAAGCCUGAGAAGAUAAGUCCCACUGCCAUGCUGCCGCAAGUAGAGUCCUACUCUGGGCAUUACCAACCCUCGCCAUGCUGCCGUCUGUAGGUGAGGUGAUGUUACACCAGAAUGAUGUGAGUUAAAAAGUGUAUUGAAAAUGCCUGCACCCCCAGCACCAUCCAGAUAAAGACAACAAGCCUAUUAUAUGGAACUAAGCAGUUGUACAGACCAAGUUAUGACAAGGUUUCCAGCAUCUGCAGCACUCUUAUUUUUACUCAUCACUAACUUGCCUCCUGGCAUUCAUCAGAACCCUCAAAUUAAAGUCUAGCAGCAGUCAAUUAGUGUCCAGAACCACCAAAGUAUGUGAUUGAAUUGACCACCCACAUGUGGAUCCAGAGGUAUCCUUCAGUAUGUACAGGCCAGAAUGGGGUGGGAUUGUUGUACUUUGCAUAACAUUGCUCAAAAUCACACUUUAAUCCCAUAGGAGGAAAAGAGCUCAGAUCCCCCUUGGGCAAUUUAGAAGGGAAAGAUAUGGAAGUGGAAGAGAAGAGUAAUAAAGACAUAUGUUCCACCAGCUGCUGACUUUGCCUGGGAUCUCAAGGUUACUCUUAAGGUUUAUUUAGGCUGCACCAAUAGACUCAUUGUACCAUUACAUAAAAUGUUCACUGUUUUUGCUCCCAUCACCCCCACACUACACCUGAGCACUAACUCUCAGAUGUUGCAGACACAAAGCAGUCCUGCAACCCACCAAGCACACAACAGUGUGAUUUGAAUAAGGUUUCCUGGCACACAUUGGCUACUCAGCUGACAAAGGCACGAGAGGUAAUUAUUAGAAAAGGCUGGGUUUAAAAAGGCUGCAGUUCACCAUUAAAUCUGAGCUGCUGUUUUAUAGAUAUAGGAGAUAGUUAAAAGAAGACAUGCAAAGAAAACAGCUCAAUUUUUAUGAAACAGCUGCGGAGGUGCUAUGGGAUAAAUUCUUUGAAAGCUGAACUUAAUGCACCAAACCGUAGAAGAGGAAGUGAAUGAAAGAUAAGUACACGUCCAAAUAACAGCAGAACUUGGAAACAAGUCAGCACAAAGUUGUAACUGCAGUAAGUACUGGUUAGGUUUAGCUUCCUUUCAAAAUAUUGUCUUACACUGCACCUUGGUAGCACAUCCCUUAAGCCCGU